GCCGUGUAAUGGUCUCAAGACUGCGGAGCAUGUUCACGCACAGCAUGGACACCACUUCAUGUAGGGGCACUGGACUGCCUAGAGUUGGAGGAAGGGACCCUAGCUCAGAGACAGCGUCUAAGAGGGCGGCUGACAAUCUGCCUCAAACACAAACACAUGACAAAUAUAGUUCUGCAGUGAAGACUUUAGCCCCACGGGGAAAGCUGAGACUCAGGAGCCUGAUGGCAUAAACAAGGCGAAAGGCUUGGUAGCAAAUCAGAAGACUUGUUUUUGGAAGCUGAAAACUUACUUCGGCAACAACAGUCCUCCAUGGCUCCCUGUUUGUGCUCUUGCUGGCCAGGCCUGGGAAGCCCUCUUGGGGCCUCUGAGGCUUGUAACCAGCCCUGCUUAGGAACUUACUGUGUCUCUGUUUGAUUGAGCCUGGGCAUGAGAUAAAACACGAGGUCAUCUGCAAUGGCACUGGUGCUGUGGCUGUAUCAGCAUGGCUCUGAUGUCCCUUCGGGGCAGGCAACAGUUCAGGGAGGACUUACAAGCAAGCUCUGGUAAGUGGU
rnacentral:lncRNA from 1 species